ensembl:lncRNA
GUAAACAUUGGCGUGGCUUAUGAGCGAUGGAGAGAGUUACGUGACCUGAGGAACUUAAAAUCGGACGCUGAGAUGGCUACAUUUCUUAUAGACGGAGCUGAUGACUUCUUGGAUGCUCAAGAUGUAGAGGACACCAAUCCUGCCACUACAUUUCAAAGUAUGGAUACAAGAAUUGGCUGGGCCGAUAACACCUGGGAAGAUGACAGUGGAGAAGAUGACAGCUGGCACCCUGAAAUGGAGAUGGAGGAUGGGUCAUCUUCAGAGGAGGUUUCCUGAGUUUCAGUUAAGUAAACAUGUUUUCAUAAGAAGGUUGUUGUAAGUUGCUAAGCCCUGCUAUAAGGGCAUUUGACACACAGUGCUCAGGCUAAUGACUUCGCUGAGGUGCUUGCUAUACACUGUCUUACACUUGCCACAAUACUGGGCACAUGGUUUUCUAAACACUAUUCAUGGUAAUGACUCUAACAAGCAUAUCUAUCACGCUGUAUUCAUGGCCACUUUCAAAUGAGCACUAAAGUUCUAUGUGUAUAUAUAUGUGGGGUCAUAGCUUAAACAUCUGUUUCUUUUAUUCUGUAAGGUCAGCCGCUGAGCUGGAAUCCUUCCACAAUCAUAUACUGAUGUAUGCCAGCAAACGAUUCAGCUUUAGCCCACCUGUUUACAAAGCAUGCACCCUCUUAGCAGUGUUGGACUGAAACCAUCAUGUUCACAGACCGGUGAAGAGGAAGACUGAUGGCUCAAUAGA